GGUCCGGCUCAGGUCCAGUGUGCGCGCACAGUGUCUCUCACUGGAUAAAAUCUCCCCACGAAAACCAAUCCAUCUUCGCCAAAGGGGACGAACCACACCCGCGCCGUCGAGCUCGAGAGCAACUUGGGGGAUGGAUGGCCAAUGUCAGAAAAGUGCACCGGAUCGAUCCAGCACAGGAGCGGAUCUUUUCAAGCGGCCAAAUGGGCAGCCAAGCAGAGAUCGACUGCACGCACACGCUUGCACAUGGUGCGGCGGAUUGGAUGGGGAUCGAUUGAUCAAGCGGGUUGUCGAAAUCAAAUUAAUCGCGCGCGCGCGCCUGUGAGCAGCUCACGGGAUGCGCAUCGCGGCCGCCAUCGACAGAGCUCCAUCGCCUAACCUCAUCUCCGGCAACAUGACGACUACUUUUCCUCUUUUUCGCCUCCCUUUCGGGUGCGGGUCAUCGCUCGCCGGCGUACAUCAUUCGAUCGUCCGCAUGUCGCCGGUGAUUUCACCUCCGGCGCCGUACGCCUAGCUGAGGCGAUUCAGGUGAGUGUGUCCCAAGUGGAUAUUGAACCCCAGCAAUUGGUGAUACUAACUAAUAAUUAGAUAUCUAAAUAAAGCGUAGGUUGCUGCGCAA